rnacentral:rRNA from 1 species
AUUGAACGCUGGCGGCAGGCCUAACACAUGCAAGUCGAGCGGAUGAAGGGAGCUUGCUCCUGGAUUCAGCGGCGGACGGGUGAGUAAUGCCUAGGAAUCUGCCUGGUAGUGGGGGAUAACGUCCGGAAACGGGCGCUAAUACCGCAUACGUCCUGAGGGAGAAAGUGGGGGAUCUUCGGACCUCACGCUAUCAGAUGAGCCUAGGUCGGAUUAGCUAGUUGGUGGGGUAAAGGCCUACCAAGGCGACGAUCCGUAACUGGUCUGAGAGGGUGAUCAGUCACACUGGAACUGAGACACGGUCCAGACUCCUACGGGAGGCAGCAGUGGGGAAUAUUGGACAAUGGGCGAAAGCCUGAUCCAGCCAUGCCGCGUGUGUGAAGAAGGUCUUCGGAUUGUAAAGCACUUUAGGUUGGGAGGAAGGGCAGUAAGUUAAUACCUUGCUGUUUUGACGUUACCAACAGAAUAAGCACCGGCUAACUUCGUG